UAAGCAUCCAUGUCCGUGUAAGUCGUUUCUGAUACCAACAUGUCUCUCUCUGAAUGGUUACAGGAUACAUGGAGACAACCCUGCGUUCGAUUAUCCUUCCGAAUCAGUUUUCCAAGGAAGUUGCCCAACAACACGCAUGACAUGCCCCUUUUCCUGGGAUGGUGCGACUUGGACCUCGGUGGCGGAAAAAGUAGACCGAGCAAGGAAUCCAAGUCACAAUCCAAGAUGGCUACGCCCACUGUGACAUGUUAAUUUGUGUAAAAUCAAGAGUGGCAGCCCCAUGGAAAAUAAAACAACUCGAAUGACGAUGGAGGCGCUCACAUCUACUUCAAGAUUCCCCAUCUUCAUCUCACGCAGUGACUUGUCACCCACUCUGCACACCGCUAAAACAAUGACUUAGUCAGCUCUUUUCUGAGAAAGAGGACGGCUCUCACUUUGCUGGGAAAGAGGGCAGCUCUUAAGGAUGGCAGAAAGAAGGGGACAUGCUGGAGGGGACGUGCUGUUCCCAAAGAUGCUACAACAAAGAUGCUACAACAAUGAUGCUACACCUUAUCGGCCACCUGCUGCUGAAUAUACAUAUUUGCACAAUGAAAUCAUGUCUGAUGUUUCUACUGUUUUUUGCUG